GCUAAAUUAUUGUUUGAAAAAUAGUUUCUGACAGAAUCCCUAAAAGUGAAGGGAAACAAGCAACCAAGCAACCAACGAGCCAAACAAACGAACUGAGUAAUAAUAAUAGUAAGCAUGCAUUCACGGCUGUCAAACUUGCGUGACAUGAACAAAUACCGCUGAAGAGAUUUAUCGACGGACGACCAAGGUGGCAACGCGGAAAAACUCGAUCAUGGCCAUGUGAGUUCUUUCCCGUAUCAAAUCUUAGUUAUCAUUCUUGCCUUUUAGCACUUGAAGGCUUCUGAUUGAAUCAAUUUUACCCCAAGUCAGUUAUAUUCAAAACAUUCGAUACGACAGUCACAACGCCGGCUAGUGACAGUGCUGAGAUCGAUGUAUAAAGUUUCACACUCAGUGUAGACCAGAGUAAAGAGAUGUCGUGGUUCUUUUGGACGUGCCUUAUAUCUGUAACUUUGCUUCAAAUUCCAGCUGAUGCCCUCCGGUGCUUCUCGUGCCACUACGACACCUCGCUAAACAGCACCUUGUGUGAAACCACUACUGAAAAUUGCACGGCGGAUUUGAAAUUCUGCCUCACUCAGACGGAGGGGAGACACGACGGGAGCAAAGUGUUCACCAGAGGUUGCGCUCCUUCUGUGGUUUGCGAGACAGAUUACUGCGACGAACAAGUUAUUCAGUUAUUAGGACGAAAGUCAUGCAGCAUUACAUGCUGCCAAGAGAAUUUCUGCAACAGAGAUGAUUAUAUUCCACCAGUUGGAACCGGCCACGUGUCACAUGUUCAUUGGUUGUUGACACUUGCUUGUUUAAUCGUAGCUACCUGGCUCUCGCUCUUUGGAAUUGAUAAUUGAAUCAGAGAUGAUGGUGGCCGAGACUCUGAAAGAACGAAUGGUGUUUUAAGGGGGCUGGCGGGAUUCAGAUUUGAACGCAGUACUUUGGAAUACAGGAAGCACAAUUUAGAGAAAUGAAAAUAAGCUGGAGAACCCUGUUUAACCAGAGACGUAGGUCUGAAUAUCAUAACAUAUUGUUAGUAAUUAUUUUGCUGGUGGUUGUGUGUCAGUAGUGACAUUAAGCCAAAUCGGUCAUUUAGUCUUUAACGGUUAAAGUUGCUUUAACAACGGCGUAGAGGAAUCUAUUCCAUGCAUUUUAUUUUUUCUUAAAAAUAGUCAUGUAAUGAGAAUGUGGAUUUAAAAAUAUUGUUCACAGUUUAUUUUCCGCAGUGAUGUACUAUUUUUUUAUAUUUUAGUUUCCUAUAAAGAAAACUCUGGGCGACAGUUCCAGUAGUUCUAUUUAUUUUUAAUAUUGUUUUACAUUAAAGAUGCUUGUAAGUUAUAAUUGCCAAUUGAUGUUAAGAAUAGGCCAUACAUUCUGUGAUACGAUUCUAGACGGAAGAGAAAUGUUUUCUAUCUUUUUAUUUCCAUGCGCGGCGUCACGAUUUGUCCCAGUGUACCACAGAAUUCAGUGUUUGUUAUACGUGUAUAUGUCAAACCUAAGCCAACUUACUCUGUGGCGGAAUCGAAGAGGCUGUUGACAAUUUGCAAGUUACUGCACUGAAAUAAACAGAGAAUUAUCAUUAUACUCUA